GACGAACGCUGGCGGCGUGCUUAACACAUGCAAGUCGAACGGAAAGGCCCUGCUUUUGUGGGGUGCUCGAGUGGCGAACGGGUGAGUAACACGUGAGUAACCUGCCCUUGACUUUGGGAUAACUUCAGGAAACUGGGGCUAAUACCGGAUAGGAGCUCCUGCUGCAUGGUGGGGGUUGGAAAGUUUCGGCGGUUGGGGAUGGACUCGCGGCUUAUCAGCUUGUUGGUGGGGUAGUGGCUUACCAAGGCUUUGACGGGUAGCCGGCCUGAGAGGGUGACCGGCCACCAUGGGACUGAGAGACGGACCAGACGCCUACGGGGGGCAGCAGGGGGGAAUAUUGCACAAUGGGCGGAAGCCUGAGGCAGCAACGCCGCGUGCGGAAUGACGGCCUUCGGGUGGUAAACCGCUUUCGCCUGUGACGAAGCGUGAGUGACGGUAAUGGGUGAAGAAGCACCGGCUAACUACGUG
rnacentral:rRNA from 1 species